CCCGAGAGUAAGAGAAUGAACUAUUUUGUAGAUACUGUUCAAUGGAUCACAUUCCAUGCUUGGGAGGGCAGUUGUUGUGAAUGCUAAUCCUGAUAUGAUUUGGAAGCAUGAAAGGCCAUUGGUUUAAAGCUACAUGUAUCUCUAUUGGAUCUAGUCGACUUUUGUUCUUUGCUUGGAGAGGUGUGCAUGCAAAAGAAGACUCAAAAAAAUUUUGGAAACCAACUAUGGCAUAUCAACUAUUGUUGAAAUGAAGAUACAAGUCCAAAGCACAAAAC